rnacentral:rRNA from 1 species
GAGUUUGAUUCUGGCUCAGGAUGAACGCGGCGGCGUGCCUAAUACAUGCAAGUCGAGCGAGAAUCUGAACGACGGAGACUUCGGUCAAAGGAAUUCAGAGGAAAGCGGCGGACGGGUGAGUAACGCGUGGGCAACCUGCCCCAUACAGAGGGAUAGCAGUUGGAAACGACUAUUAAUACCUCAUACUCCGGUUUUAUCGCAUGAUAGAACCGGGAAAGAUUUAUCGGUAUGGGAUGGGCCCGCGUCUGAUUAGCUAGUUGGUGAGGUAACGGCUCACCAAGGCGACGAUCAGUAGCCAACCUUAGAGGGUGAUUGGCCACACUGGAACUGAGACACGGUCCAGACUCCUACGGGAGGCAGCAGUAGAGAAUAUUGGGCAAUGGGGGCAACCCUGACCCAGCAACGCCGCGUGAACGAUGAAAAUCUUCGGAUUGUAAAGUUCUUUUCUUGAGGAAGAAGAAAGUGACG